rnacentral:rRNA from 1 species
GACGAACGCUGGCGGUGUGCUUAACACAUGCAAGUCGAACGGUAAGGCCCUUUCGGGGGUACACGAGUGGCGAACGGGUGAGUAACACGUGAGUAACCUGCCCUCAUCUCUGGGAUAACAGUCGGAAACGGUUGCUAAUACUGGAUAUGAGCUUGCAAGGCAUCUUGUGGGUUGGAAAGAUUUUUUUGGUUGGGGAUGGACUCGCGGCCUAUCAGCUUGUUGGUGAGGUAGUGGCUCACCAAGGCUUCGACGGGUAGCCGGCCUGAGAGGGCGACCGGCCACAUUGGGACUGAGAUACGGCCCAAACUCCUACGGGAGGCAGCAGUGGGGAAUAUUGCACAAUGGACGGAAGUCUGAUGCAGCAACGCCGCGUGCGGGAUGACGGUCUUCGGGUUGUAAACCGCUUUCAAUUGUGACGAAGCUUUUUGUGACGGUAGCAGUAGAAGAAGCACCGGCUAACUACGUG